rnacentral:ncRNA from 1 species
AACCAAGUCUCUAAGCAAUGGAUGUCUUGGCUCCUCACACGAUGAAGAACGUGGCAUAAUGUGUUAAGUAACCGGAGUUGCAAACAUCAUGACAGGUUAAUCUUUGAAUGCAAAUUGCGCUAAACUCGAUCUCGGUCGAGAAGCAUGGGUGUGACAGUACUACAUCUUUUAUAAUAAUUCUUAUUCUAAGCGAAUAAGUAAAUAAUAUAUAAGACAAACAACACGUAGUCUGCCAUACGCAGGAAGACCCGCUGAACUGAAGCAUCUCAUUAAGCGGAGGAAAAGAAACUAACUAGGAUUCCCUUAGUAAAGGCGAUCGAAAAGGGAACAGCCCAACGUCUUAAUCCCGCA